rnacentral:rRNA from 1 species
AGUGGACGCUGGCGGCAGGCCUAACACAUGCAAGUCGAACGGCAGCACAGUAAGAGCUUGCUCUUAUGGGUGGCGAGUGGCGGACGGGUGAGGAAUACAUCGGAAUCUACUUUUUCGUGGGGGAUAACGUAGGGAAACUUACGCUAAUACCGCAUACGACCUACGGGUGAAAGCAGGGGAUCUUCGGACCUUGCGCGAUUAAAUGAGCCGAUGUCGGAUUAGCUAGUUGGCGGGGUAAAGGCCCACCAAGGCGACGAUCCGUAGCUGGUCUGAGAGGAUGAUCAGCCACACUGGAACUGAGACACGGUCCAGACUCCUACGGGAGGCAGCAGUGGGGAAUAUUGGACAAUGGGCGCAAGCCUGAUCCAGCCAUGCCGCGUGGGUGAAGAAGGCCUUCGGGUUGUAAAGCCCUUUUGUUGGGAAAGAAAAGCGCGGGGCUAAUACCCUUGUGUUCUGACGGUACCCAAAGAAUAAGCACCGGCUAACUUCGUGCCAGCCGCCGCGGUAAUAC